AGUGAACGCUGGCGGUAGGCCUAACACAUGCAAGUAGAACGGCAGCACAGGAGAGCUUGCUCUCUGGGUGGCGAGUGGCGGACGGGUGAGGAAUACAUCGGAAUCUACUCUGGCGUGGGGGAUAACGUAGGGAAACUUACGCUAAUACCGCAUACGACCUACGGGUGAAAGCAUGGGAUCUUCGUACCUUGCGCGAUUGAAUGAGCAGAUGUCGGAUUAGCUAGUUGGCGGGGUAAAGGCCCACCAAGGCGACGAUCCGUAGCUGGUCUGAGAGGAUGAUCAGCCACACUGGAACUGAGACACGGUCCAUACUCCUACGGGAGGCAGCAGUGGGGAAUAUUGGACAAUGGGCGCAAGCCUGAUCCAGCCAUACCGCGUGGGUGAAGAAGGCCUUCGGGUUGUAAAGCCCUUUUGUGGGGAAAGAAAUCCAGAUGGUUAAUACCCGGUUGGGAUGACGGUACCCAAAGAAUAAGCACCGGCUAACUUCGUGCCAGCCGCCGCAGUAA
rnacentral:rRNA from 1 species